rnacentral:rRNA from 1 species
CUGGUUGAUCCUGCCAGUAGUCAUAUGCUUGUGUUAAAGAUUAAGCCAUGCAAGCCUAAGUUUAAGGUGAUAAACCGAAACUGCGGAUGGCUCAUUAAAUCAGUCAUAAUUAAUUUGGUGAAGAUCUUAGUAGGAUAACCCUGUUAAUUGCAGAGCUAAUACAUGAAGAUGAUACAGGCCUGGUCACAGGACUGUAGCGUUUGUCAGCUCGAUUUCGUCUGGGGGUAGGUAGUGAUACUUAUUUCCGGGCGGAAGGGGUGGGGACCUACCUAUAUGCUUUAGAUUAGACAACGUACUUACCCAGGAAGCUAAAAUUACAGAGCGGAAUCUCACAUAAAACGCGAAUAACAAAAGGGGGUAUUGGGUACGUGGCGUGUAGGAGAUUUGGGCCUAUCCUUAAAGCCAGUGUUGCAGAGCAAUGAAAAAGGACAAAGAGUUGUUUUUGAUGUUGAGCAAUCGAUGUCAAGAAUAGCUAGUAGCGGAUCGCAGUUAAAACGAGCAGCAAUGUUCGUGGCGACAGACCAAUUGAAUGACUGACCUAUCAAGGGGCUGGUAGGAUAGGGGCCUACCAUUCUUGUGACGGGUAACGGGGAAUAAGGGUUCGAUUCCGGAGAGGGAGCCUGAGAAACGGCUACCACUUCCAAGGUAGGCAGCAGGCGCGUAAAUUACUCGGUGCCGAAACGGCGAGGUAGUGACAAGAAAUACCAAUGCCUUUGGCUGGGGGCAACCCUGGUCGGGGCAAUUGGAAUGGGUUGAAGGUAAAGUAGUCUUCGAGUAACAAUUGGAGGGCAAGUCUGG